GUGACAAACAGAUAGCCUGGUUAUACACCAAGUUAAAGCAGCUGGACUGGACCUGCAGACUGCAUGUGUUCCCAGUACUGCAGCUGGGGUUGCCUCAGCUCAAAAAGGAAGUGCCAGGUGUGUUGUUUACGAUCUGCAACCUGCCACAGACAGACUGGCUGCCAUUGUCAGACACUCUAUAUGGU